rnacentral:rRNA from 1 species
AGAGUUUGAUCAUGGCUCAGGAUGAACGCUGGCGGCGUGCCUAAUACAUGCAAGUCGAACGAACUUCCGUUAAUUGAUUAUGACGUACUUGUACUGAUUGAGAUUUUAACACGAAGUGAGUGGCGGACGGGUGAGUAACACGUGGGUAACCUGCCCAGAAGUAGGGGAUAACACCUGGAAACAGAUGCUAAUACCGUAUAACAGAGAAAACCGCAUGGUUUUCUUUUAAAAGAUGGCUCUGCUAUCACUUUUGGAUGGACCCGCGGCGUAUUAGCUAGUUGGUGAGGUAAAGGCUCACCAAGGCAGUGAUACGUAGCCGACCUGAGAGGGUAAUCGGCCACAUUGGGACUGAGACACGGCCCAGACUCCUACGGGAGGCAGCAGUAGGGAAUCUUCCACAAUGGACGCAAGUCUGAUGGAGCAACGCCGCGUGAGUGAAGAAGGGUUUCGGCUCGUAAAGCUCUGUUGUUAAAGAAGAACGUGGGUAAGAGUAACUGUUUACCCAGUGACGGUAUUUAACCAGAAAGCCACGGCUAACUACGUGCCAGCAGCCGCGGUAAUACGUAGGUGGCAAGCGUUAUCCGGAUUUAUUGGGCGUAAAGCGAGCGCAGGCGGUCUUUUAAGUCUAAUGUGAAAGCCUUCGGCUCAACCGAAGAAGUGCAUUGGAAACUGGGAGACUUGAGUGCAGAAGAGGACAGUGGAACUCCAUGUGUAGCGGUGAAAUGCGUAGAUAUAUGGAAGAACACCAGUGGCGAAGGCGGCUGUCUGGUCUGCAACUGACGCUGAGGCUCGAAAGCAUGGGUAGCGAACAGGAUUAGAUACCCUGGUAGUCCAUGCCGUAAACGAUGAUUACUAAGUGUUGGAGGGUUUCCGCCCUUCAGUGCUGCAGCUAACGCAUUAAGUAAUCCGCCUGGGGAGUA